GCCAGUGAUAAACUGGAGGAAGGUGGGGAUGACGUCAAGUCAUCAUGGCCCUUACGACCAGGGCUACACACGUGCUACAAUGGCAUAUACAAAGAGAAGCGACCUCGCGAGAGCAAGCGGACCUCAUAAAGUAUGUCGUAGUCCGGAUUGGAGUCUGCAACUCGACUCCAUGAAGUCGGAAUCGCUAGUAAUCGUAGAUCAGAAUGCUACGGUGAAUACGUUCCCGGGCCUUGUACACACCGCCCGUCACACCAUGGGAGUGGGUUGCAAAAGAAGUAGGUAGCUUAACCUUCGGGAGGGCGCUUACCACUUUGUGAUUCAUGACUGGGGUGAAGUCGUAACAAGGUAACCGUAGGGGAACCUGCGGUUGGAUCACCUCCUU
rnacentral:rRNA from 2 species